rnacentral:lncRNA from 1 species
CGACAUCAUGAAAGCCUGUUCCUGCUGUACUCAGCUCCCCAUAGCUGUGAAGGGACAUCUUCCAAGGAGAGACUGAAAACCUUUCACUUUCUCUGGGACAGAUCAUCUGUAACAUUCACCCAGUGCUAGCACACACAUUGGAAAACGUUCUACUUUUGGCUCUUUCAUUUUGUCUUCAUAAGUGACUUUUAACUCAGUGCCAAGCAGUCUAGUCACAGUCUCUCAUACCCAUGUGAGGAAGGAAAACUAUUGCUGAAACCACCUUGUCAGAAGCAAGAUGUGACAUUUCCCAGGAGAGCUUUGAGAUUUUAUUACAGCUGGGAGAGAUUAUCUAUAACACACAUUCAAGCAAAGUACACUGUGCAGAAAAUCUCUGGCCUGUAGCUCUUUAGGAUCAUCCUGGAAAGUGCCUCUUCACAGCUUGCAGCUCACCGCCUUCACUCGGGCUCUCUCUCACAUUUAUUGAAAGAGUGUUCCUUAGGAGAGUGGUGUCGAGAUGGUGUUGUAGGUGGACUCUGAACUCACCUCUUCCCAUGAGCACAACGAAGUUACAACUAUGUUUGAAGCAAUUACCACUAAGAAAGAACUGAAAACUGGGUAAAAGGAAGCCCCGCAUCAUGAGACAUUCCUGACUGAGGCAGAAAUUCCUGUCUGGAGAGAAAACAGCCAACUUUGUGAGCUGCAAAGCUUCACACUGGGUGGGAGGAGCCCUAAGGUGUGCAGUCUUCCCCAGAGGAGUGGGGUACCUGACCAGGGGAACACUGCCCCUAUAAGCAUCCUUCAGACUCAGUACAACUGAAAUGAGUGUUAUAAUACCUGGCUUUGCUGACUAUUAACUACAAUGAGGAAUAUCCCUAGAAAGCUAUUGGACAGAAGCAGAAAAAAGCCAGCUCUCAAAAGGCCCACACACAAACUUCCCUGUUUUGGAAAGCAACCUAAAAUUACCAGAAAGAAAGGUGCAAGGUCCUUUGGUAAAAAGAGACUCACCUGAUAGGCUCUGGGUGCAUCUCAGUGAGAUGUAAGACCUCUUCAGGGACUGAGACAUUGGCAGCAGCCUUUAUUGUGACCUAGUACAGGUGUGCUGACACAGAUGCUGGCAGAUGCCCUUGGAGUUCCUCCCCUGACCUGUUAGCUCAGAGUCUGCCCCACCCACUAGAGUGUAGAAUAAAUCCAGCUCAGCCAGGGCAGACAGCCCACCCUAGAGACUGGCCUCACCCAACAGCAAGCCCUCAAGCAACUUUUAAGCCUGCAUAGACUCUGUAAAUGCAUCCUCUGCAGGCAGGCAAGUGGCCCUGCCUCUGUGGGGAAGGGCAUGCAUGAGAAGUGGGUGGAGAGUGUGGGGCACUGGUGGAGUGUGUGGGUGGUUCUAAAGUGGAAUGACUGGGUCUGUUCCAGGGAGUUGGGAAGUGUCCACAGGGCCAGGACUGUGUUGAUGGUGGAUGUGGACCUGUGGGCCAUGGGGCUUAUCAGAAGCAGAAGGUCUGUGCUUCUCAAACAGCCACAUAGGGGAUUGGCCCAUCCUUCCAAAGCCUGGAACAACUGGGUACCCCCAUGCCUGGUGCCAGCCCCACACAGCUGCAAUCCUGAGAGAGCUGACAACAUUUUUGCAAGCCAAAGUCCUGCAGCAAUUGUAAGCCCCUGAGCCUCAUGAUCAGCUCUGUUCUGGACCCACCCACUUAACAGAAAACCUGCAACAGAAAUGUGCUAUUAGACCUUUUGUUCAACUCUACUGAGGCUCCCCAAAGCCAAUAAACAGACUUAAGUGUCCAUAUCAGCCACACGCAGCAGAGCACUACAACCAGUCAGCCAGGGGCACAACCUAGACUCCCUGGGCACCUACGGCAAGAGCAAUCCUGACACAACAGGAGGACACACAUAGCCCACACAGUGGUCACUCCUGGAACAUUCGGAACUGGUGACAAGAGGGAAGCACACUGCUGGGUCUCCAAAGAUGCCUCCUACAUAAGGCCACCUCUACAAGAUCAAGACACGUAGUGGACCCACCUAAUACACAGAGAAAGAGACAAAGUGAGGAGGCAAAGGAGUAUAUUCCAAGCAAGGAAACAGGACAAAACCCCAGAAAAAGAACUAAAUGGAAAAGAAAUAAACAAUCUAUCUAACAAAGAGUUCAAGUAAAAAGUCAUAAGGAUGCUCACUAAUCUUGGGAGAAGAAUAGAUGAAUACAGUGAGAAUAUCAACAAAGAAUUGUAAAAUAUAAAAAAUAACAAAUCAGAAAAGAAGAAUACAAUACUGGAAAUGAAAAAUCACUAGAGGAUUUAAUAGCAGAGUAGAUGAUACAGAAAAACAGAUCAGUGAGCUGGAUGAAAGACUAGAGGAAAUCACCCAUGCUAAUCAGAUAAAAGAAAAAAGAUUAUAAAGAAUGAUAACAGUUUAAGGGAACUCUGGGACAACAUGAAGUGCACUAACAUUGAUGACAUUCAUAUUAUAGGUGUCCCAGAAGGAGAAGAGAGAGACAAAGGGGCAGAGAAUCUAUUUGAAGAAAUAAUAGCUGAAAACUUUCCUAACUUAAGGAAGGAAACAGACACCCAAGUACAAGAGCACAGAGAGCCGCAAACAAUAUACACCCAAAAAGGCCCACACCAAGACAUAUUAGAAUUAAAAUGUCCAAAGCUGAAGAGAAAGAGAGAAUCCUAAAAGCCACAAGAAGGCAACAAGUGGCAUACAAAGGAAACCCCAUAAGGUUAUCAGCUGACUUUUCAGCAGAAACCUUACAGGAUGGAAGGGAGUGGCAUGAUAUAUCUAUUUAAAGUGCUGAAAGGAAAAACUCUACAGCCAAGAAUACUCUACCUGUCAAGGUUAUCAUUCAGAAUGGAAGGAGAGAUAGUUUCCCAGACAAGCAAUAUUAAAGGAGUUUAUCAUCAAGAAACCAGCUUCAGGAGAAAUGAUAAAGAGACUUAUUUAAGUGGGAAAGAGAAGACCACCAAUAGGAAUUAGAAAAUUAUCAAAAGAAAAAAGAGGCAAUAAAAUAACUGACAAUGGCAAAAAUAGAGUAAAGUUA